rnacentral:tRNA from 1 species
GAAUAACGUCGCUUAUGUCAUAUCUACACCCGUGCACCACACACCGUCUAUAUACUUUGGUGGUAAGGAAAUCA